rnacentral:rRNA from 1 species
GACGAACGCUGGCGGCGUGCUUAACACAUGCAAGUCGAACGGAAAGGCCCUGCUUUUGUUGGGUGCUCGAGUGGCGAACGGGUGAGUAACACGUGAGUAACCUGCCCUUGACUUUGGGAUAACUUCAGGAAACUGGGGCUAAUACCGGAUAGGAGCUCCUGCUGCAUGGUGGGGGUUGGAAAGUGUCGGCGGUUGGGGAUGGACUCGCGGCUUAUCGGCUUGUUGGUGGGGUAGUGGCUUACCAAGGCUUUGACGGGUAGCCGGCCUGAGAGGGUGACCGGCCACAUUGGGACUGAGAUACGGACCAGACUCCUACGGGAGGCAGCAGUGGGGAAUAUUGCACAAUGGGCGGAAGCGUGAUGCAGCAACGCCGCGUGCGGGAUGACGGGCUUCGGGUUGUAAACCGCUUUCGCAGGUGACGAAGCGUGAGUGACGGUAAUGGGUAAAGAAGCACCGGCUAACUACGUG